rnacentral:lncRNA from 1 species
UCGCAUAACCCCUCGUCUCCCUCCCCAGAUCUAAAUCGCGCAGGACCAGGCAUCCCAUCCAGACGGUUAUUGGUCUUCUUGCGUGCGCAGGUGAGCCCUCUCCCUCUCUCCCCUCCUCUGCGUGCUCCCUCCUUUUUUCCGAUCAGGCUGCUGUGCCGUGGCCAUGUCCCAUGCGGCAGGGCGUCUUCAAUCCAUGGCUGCCUCCCCUGCGUGCUCCCUCUGUUUUCCUCGGCCGGCGGCGCGGUGUGGCCAGGCUCGACGUCCCCGGGCGCGGCGUCUCGGCGCGGGUGCGCGCGAGCUCGGCGCAGCCAGCGCGGCAGCCAGCCAGCGCGGCGGCCAGCGUGCAUGGCAGCCAGCACAGCUUGCCCAGCGCGACGCGAUAAGCAGCCGGCAGCCGCGCGGCGGCUCGCCCGUGGGCCCAGGCGUCGGGGCCCCUGCUCCCUCGCGCGAAUAGGCAGCCGGCGCUCUGCUCUUGCCGGUCGACCAGCGCUGCCCCGACGUGGUUAGUCCCCUUGGUCAAGCCCGAUAUCCACGGCAUUUUCUUCUCCAUGGUAGUUUCCUGGAAGGAGAUCGUGCGUUCCAUAGAGAAGAAAAAGAGGAAAACACCCACACGUCAUGGCCCACCAUGGGAUUAUUUGUGGCUAUUAAAAAAUCAAUGACCCUUCAUGUGGCCUCGAUCUAGCCGAUAGAAUCGCGCCACGUUGCCUUAAACCCGCAAAAAAUUAUUUACUCGAUAUCCUUUGCGUUAGAUGUCCGAUUUAUUCCUUCCCGGGUGUAUUAGCUUCGCAAUAAUCUCAUGUGCACGUUAAAAAAAUAUUAUUUUAUCGUAACACAUGUUUUAGUUGAUUAAUUAAUUAUGUGUUUGUUUGAUGGUUAGUGUAAUGGCGAUUCUGUUAAGAUUAUUUUAUAGAUUUAAGUUGCGAUUUUAUAAAUACAUGUUAACGUAAUUAAUACCAACUCAAAUCUUUUGAUUUAAAUACUUGCCUAGUGUAAUCACGAUACAUGUUUAGCAAUUCUCAUAUGUCGCGUCUUUUAUAAUCGGGAUUAUUAUUUAUACAGUAUAAUUUGUGUCAUAAAUUUGUUUUGACUUGUUUCAGUCGCGUUAACUUUGUAACCUCAUCGCCAACCUGCUAGUAACAUUAUUUCGUCGUGAGACAUGUUCUAAUUAAUUAGUUGAUUAUUUAUUUAUCCGAGUUAUUAAUGUAGUAGUUUGCUUAAGCUAAUUUAUAGUUUUAGACACGCUUCAUUUAUAUCUGUUAAUAGGAUUAUAUCUACACAAAUGUUUUUGAAUUAAUAUUUAUUUAGUAUAAACACGAUAUCUGAUAGCGAUUCUCGCGUGUUGCUGCGCGCUGAAUCGCGUGCCUUUCGCGUGUCGCGCUGUUUCGCGUGUUGUCGUGCGUGUCGUCGCGCGUGCUAUUCGCACGCGUUGCCGCGUGCCGUUUUCGCACAUUGUCGCUUGCCGCGCGCUGUCCGCGCGCAAUAUUAAAUCAACGGCUCAGUAAAUACACAUUAACUUUUAUGGUCGUCUGAUUUACUCUAUUCUAAUUGUUUUACCUUCACAAUAAUAUCGUAUACACGUUAAAAAUAUUAUUUUGUCGUACCUCAUGCUUUAGUUAAUUAAUUAAUUAAUUGUUGGCCAUGCUUUAUUAUAAACCGAUAAAUGUAGUGAUUCUCAUGUCAUUGUGCUGUCCGUGGGCGUCGUCGCACCAUCUAUGCGUUGUUCGCGCGUGAUGUUCUUGUGGCGCGCGUGCUGUUCGCGCAAGUCGUUGCGCGUCGUUUACGUGCUGGUUCACGCGUCUUUCGCGCUGGUCGCGCGCACUGUCUCAUGCGUUGUUCACAUGCUACGUCGCGCGUGCCCGCACGUCGUCUGCACGCUGUCGUAUUGUUUCAUGCAUCGUAAAUUCGCUUCGCUUAGAAUCUCUCGUGCUAAUUAUAUUAGUUAUUUGUUUGAUAGCUAUUAGUGUGGUAGAUUUAAUCAAAACUACAUAACGGUUAUAAGUUAUAUUUUACAAUAUCAAAUUAAAUGUCCUAGCUACUACUUGCGUAGCGUAAACGUUAUAACUCCUCGAUCGAAGCUUCGACUGUCGGGUUCCUUUUCCCUCGCGUGACCGUAGUAACGCGCUCUAUUUCGUUCUGCAUAUUUUAUUAUGUUUUAUUUGAAUGAUGUAAUGUUCUUAUGCAUAUACAUAUGUCUGUUUGUUUGUGCCUGUUGGUAUUCGCUGUGUGACGCGAAUAGAUUGCGAUCUGUUCCUGAGCUUCAAGGAAUCGACGGUCAAGCUUCGGCGAUCAAGUGAUAUUCUUCGAGUUCUGCAAAGUUGAGGACCCUGAGCAUCUGUUUGGUGAAGGCAAGUGUCCUCUGACCCAUUAUGUCCCAUUUACUUUAUAAUACACUGUCCCGCAUACUAUGAACAACCUAAGGAUUUACUAGCUUUCUAUUUACCUUGUCCUUGAUUUACCUUUUGGGUUACUAUGGUUAGCUACAUGCUAGCGCUUUACUUUAAUCAAUGAACAUGAUGAGAUACAAUGAUGAUACUAUGAUUUUACUCUGGAUAUGAUGAUAUACUUGUGGCAUUUAGGGGACUCGGGCUGUUUCCCGAGUACCUCUCCGUAAGGACCUGUUCGUUGAGAGACCACCCGGGAUAACAGUGCAACCAUGAGGGUGAAAUGGGGCGCCCUUAGCUAAUUAAUUAGAGGAACUAGAGGUGUAGUUGCUUCGUCGUCGUGCCGUCAAUGGGGUCCAGGCACAGUGCUUGCUCUGCCGAGGCUGGGUGCCGAUGUUCUUUCGUUUUGCUUUUGUUAGUCACCCUCCUGCGGGGAGAGGUACUGUGUUUAUCAAACUGGAGAAACCUAACGGGCGGCUAUGACCUCUAGGGAAUCUUUGUAAAAGCUACGUAGUGAUACCCUGCCGGACCACCUAGGAAGUGAUCAAUGGGGAGUCAUGAUCCUCGGGCAGAACGGGAAUCACGGCUCAUGGGUAAAGUGUGCAACCUCUGCAGAGGGUAAUGAAACUGAUAUAUCAGCCGUGCUCACGGUUAAGAGCGGCCUUGGGAUCCUCUUUGAUUAGAGAUACAAAUGAUCUGAGAUACAAUGGUUCUAUUUAUUAUUUUGGUUCGAUGACGAUAAUGAUGUUCCUCGAGGAGGAAGCUGUUCACGGGUUGGCUAUUACUAAAACUUGGCUUCCACUAAUAAUAAUAACCUGACCAACUAAAAGCAACUGCUUGACCUUAACCCCAAAUAAAGCUAGUCCACUACAGCCAAACGGGACAUUUGCUGAGUACGUUGAUGUGUACUCACCCUUGCUUUCACAAAACACCAGGUUGCCUUUGGUGCAAUCUAUGCUCAGGUAAAGAAGAAGGCGUCGAUGCGAAUCUCCAGGAGUUCCAGGACUUCGACGAGUUCGAGGAUUAGGCUAGCGACCUCCCCCAGUCAGCUGCCUGUGGUGGGUUGUUUACGUUGGCUACGUUUCGUUUCUGUGUACUUUGAUUUAUAUUUUGUAAAUGGCUCUAGUCUGUAAUAUUACUACUUACUCUUUAUUGAAAUUCGAAGCAUUGUGCUAUGAUGAGUCAUUUAUGUAAUCGCUGUGUACGUGAAUUUCUGAUCCUGGCACGUACAUGGUUCGCAUUCGGUUUACCUUCAAAACCGGGUGUGACAAUAUACCUGAUGAUCGGCUCUCUCUAGUCGUCUGGCUCUGGUUGGCUUAGAAUAUUGCAUUCCUCUAUCCGAUCUAGUGAAAUGCUUGGGUGUAGUACUUCUUGG